rnacentral:rRNA from 1 species
UGUGUAGGUGGCGCCGUAAGUCGGGUGUGAAAUUUCGGAGCUUAACUCCGAAACUGCAUUCGACACUGCGGUGCUUGAGGACUGGAGAGGAGACUGGAAUUCAUGGUGUAGCAGUGAAAUGCGUAGAGAUCAUGAGGAAGACCAGUGGCGAAGGCGGGUCUCUGGACAGUUCCUGACACUGAGACACGAAGGCCAGGGGAGCAAACG